rnacentral:rRNA from 1 species
AGCAGCCGCGGUAAUUCCAGCUCCAAUAGCGUAUAUUAAAGUUGUUGCAGUUAAAAAGCUCGUAGUUGAAUUUCGGGAUCAAUAUAUUGGUCAUGCUUAGGUAUGUACCGGUAUUAUUGAUUUCUCCCUUCUGAAGAACCAUGAUGUCAUUAAUUUGAUGUCGUGGGGAAUCAGGACUGUUACUUUGAAAAAUUAGAGUGUUUAAAGCAGGCUUUCGCUUGAAUACAUUAGCAUGGAAUAAUGAAAUAGGACGUUUGAUUCUAUUUUGUUGGUUUCUAGGAUCGACGUAAUGAUUAAUAGGGAUAGUUGGGGGCAUUAGUAUUCAAUUGUCAGAGGUGAAAUUCUUGGAUUUAUUGAAGACUAACUACUGCGAAAGCAUUUGCCAAGGAUGUUUUCAUUAAUCAAGAACGAAAGUUAGGGGAUCGAAGACGAUCAGAUACCGUCGUAGUC